AGGUGACCCUUGUGAAAGGGUUGUUCGACCCCAAAGGGGUCGCGACCCACAGGUUGAGAACUGCUGCCAUAGAUGGACAUAUCCUGAAAAUGUAUAGGAAUCAAGAAGAAAGACGGGAGAACCCUCUACACAGCGGCUUGCACGCUCUGAGGGAGUCGGUGCAAUUUCUGGGAUGAACACAGCCCUGAUCUGCAGUGAGGAGACUUUAUCAAGCAAUCUGCUGUGCAGAGCGUUAAUAGGACAUUUUCCUGUCCUCCAGCCCUGGCUCAGAGGUGCUGCCAAUUCCAGAUAAAAGCGCUGGAGUAAUCUCA